GCAAGUCGAACGAAACCCUUAGGGGUUUAGUGGCGGACGGGUGAGUAACGCGUGAGAAACUGCCUUCAGAUUGGGGACAACAGUUGGAAACGACUGCUAAUACCGAAUAUGACCUAGGGUAAAAGAUUUAUUGUCUGAAGAUGUGCUCGCGUCUGAUUAGCUAGUUGGUGGGGUAAAAGCCUACCAAGGCAACGAUCAGUAGCUGUUCUGAGAGGAAGACC
rnacentral:rRNA from 1 species